GAUGAACGCUGGCGGCGUGCCUAAUACAUGCAAGUCGAGCGAACAGACGAGGAGCUUGCUCCUCUGACGUUAGCGGUGGACGGGUGAGUAACACGUGGAUAACCUACCUAUAAGACUGGGAUAACUUCGGGAAACCGGAGCUAAUACCGGAGAAUAUAUUGAACCGCAUGGUUCAAUAGUGAAAGACGGUUUUGCUGUCACUUAUAGAUGGAUCCGCGCCGCAUUAGCUAAUUGGUAAGGUAACGGCUUACCAAGGCAACGAUGCGUAGCCGACCUGAGAGGGUGAUCGGCCGCCCUGGAAGUGGGACACGGUCAAGACUCCUACGGGAGGCAGCAGUAGGGAAUCUUCCGCAGUGGGCGAAAGCCUGACGGAGCAACGCCGCGUGAGUGGUGAAGGUCUUCGGAUCGUAAAACUCGGUUAUUAGGGAAGAACAAAUGUGUAAGUAACUAUGCACGUAGUGACGGUACCUAAUCAGAAAGCCACGGCUAACUACGUG
rnacentral:rRNA from 1 species